UGGCGAGCUUGGUUUGGGCUUGGUCAAAUUGGCUGGUACUUGGAGUCUGCGUAGCAGCAGGUCCACGCCUUUUGGUGUGGAUGCGCGAUGCACUUAUCAGGUGCUGUGCGCUCCUUGUUCAUCCGGGCCGGCUUGUCAGUGCACUUCCGCAGAGUGGUCACCACGACCGGCAUGGCUGUCUGAAUGUUGUGGUUAAACCGUCCUUGCAUGUUCCAUGUGACUAUGUCUGGGCGGGAUGGCAGGUAGCUCGUUGGCUUGCUUGCGGUUUUUCCGUUGGCUUGGGUCUUCGAGUGUAAUCAGCUGACCACCUCAGUCCUGUGCAGUAUGUCGGAGACGGCGGCUUUUGGUGUGUGCGUGCGUGCCGGCUGUUCGGCGUUUCCGGGUUCGGUUGUCAUGUUGCCUGUGUGUGCAGGCCUGACGGCAGCUCGGGCUCGUUCGAUCGGCGGUGGCGUUCGUUUCACUAUAUCCGGGGCCGACAGUCUGUGGUGUUGCAGUAGACGUUCCACCUGACCCGUCUUGAAACACGGACCAAGGAGAGUAACAUGUGCGCGAGUCAUUGGGCGUAACGAAACCCAAAGGCGAAGUGAAAGUGAAUGUCCGGCUCGUCCGGGCUGAGGUGAGAUCCUGCCGUUUCUCACGCGCGGUGUCACCGAGCAUCGAGCGGCAGGCGCAUCACCGGCCCGUCCCAUGGUGUGGUGACACUCUUCGGAUUGUUCAUCACCGGGGCGGAGCAUGAGCGCACAUGUUGAGACCCGAAAGAUGGUGAACUAUGCUUGCGCAGGUUGAAGCCAGAGGAAACUCUGGUGGAGGACCGCAGCGAUUCUGACGUGCAAAUCGAUCGUCAGACGU
rnacentral:rRNA from 1 species